GACGGAGCAACGCCGCGUGAGUGAUGAAGGUCUUCGGAUCGUAAAACUCUGUUAUUAGGGAAGAACAUAUGUGUAAGUAACUGUGCACAUCUUGACGGUACCUAAUCAGAAAGCCACGGCUAACUACGUGCCAGCAGCCGCGGUAAUACGUAGGUGGCAAGCGUUAUCCGGAAUUAUUGGGCGUAAAGCGCGCGUAGGCGGUUUUUUAAGUCUGAUGUGAAAGCCCACGGCUCAACCGUGGAGGGUCAUUGGAAACUGGAAAACUUGAGUGCAGAAGAGGAAAGUGGAAUUCCAUGUGUAGCGGUGAAAUGCGCAGAGAUAUGGAGGAACACCAGUGGCGAAGGCGACUUUCUGGUCUGUAACUGACGCUGAUGUGCGAAAGCGUGGGGAUCAAACAGGAUUAGAUACC
rnacentral:rRNA from 1 species